rnacentral:rRNA from 1 species
UCUGAUGGAGCACGCCGCGUGAGUGAAGAAGGUUUUCGGAUCGUAAAGCUCUGUUGUUGGUGAAGAAGGAUAGAGGUAGUAACUGGCCUUUAUUUGACGGUAAUCAACCAGAAAGUCACGGCUAACUACGUGCCAGCAGCCGCGGUAAUACGUAGGUGGCAAGCGUUGUCCGGAUUUAUUGGGCGUAAAGCGAGCGCAGGCGGAAGAAUAAGUCUGAUGUGAAAGCCCUCGGCUUAACCGAGGAAUUGCAUCGGAAACUGUUUUUCUUGAGUGCAGAAGAGGAGAGUGGAACUCCAUGUGUAGCGGUGGAAUGCGUAGAUAUAUGGAAGAACACCAGUGGCGAAGGCGGCUCUCUGGUCUGCAACUGACGCUGAGGCUCGAAAGCAUGGGUAGCGAACAGGAUUAGAUACCCUGGUAGUCCAUGCCGUAAACGAUGAGUGCUAAGUGUUGGGAGGUUUCCGCCUCUCAGUGCUGCAGCUAACGCAUUAAGCACUCCGCCUGGGGAGUACGACCGCAAGGUUGAAACUCAAAGGAAUUGACGGGGGCCCGCACAAGCGGUGGAGCAUGUGGUUUAAUUCGAAGCAACGCGAAGAACCUUACCAGGUCUUGACAUCUAGUGCCAUCCUAAGAGAUUAGGAGUUCCCUUCGGGGACGCUAAGACAGGUGGUGCAUGGCUGUCGUCAGCUCGUGUCGUGAGAUGUUGGGUUAAGUCCCGCAACGAGCGCAACCCUUAUUAUUAGUUGCCAGCAUUAAGUUGGGCACUCUAAUGAGACUGCCGGUGACAAACCGGAGGAAGGUGGGGAUGACGUCAAGUCAUCAUGCCCCUUAUGACCUGGGCUACACACGUGCUACAAUGGGCAGUACAACGAGAAGCGAGCCUGCGAAGGCAAGCGAAUCUCUGAAAGCUGUUCUCAGUUCGGACUGCAGUCUGCAACUCGACUGCACGAAGCUGGAAUCGCUAGUAAUCGCGGAUCA